AAGCCUAAGUUGUUGUAAUUUUUUUUUACUUUGAAUAUCUAUUUAACUUGAAUUUUACUUAACUAUUUUGUUCUCUCACUUCUACUCUCUCAAUUAUUUUGCAAUUCUUCUUACUUCUCUCUACAAUUUCUGAAAACAUGUAAGUUUUUUUUUUAUAUGUUUAUGUUAGAUUUUGGGGUAUGGAAUGUAUCUCUUAGCUUAGGUGGUUCUGACGAGGUGUAUCCUGUUGUAUUUUGAAUAUGAAAAUUUUGUACAUGUUACGUUGGUUAUUUAUAGAUAUGCGAAAACAUAUUGCGAGGGAUUUGCGAGAAACUUGCGAGGAACAUCGCUAUUUUGCUACGAAUUUGCGAGAGAAGUUCAACUACCAACCAAGCAGGAAGAUUAUUUAAAACGUGCUGACCUAACCUGCCAAGGACUCGCAACUCCGACGCAAAAUUUGCUACAGAAAGUUUGUAUGCCGCAAGUUUACCGCAGUUUGCGAGACUCUUAUCGUACAGCAAAUCCCUCGCAAUUUGCGAUGACUUUGCGAUGAAUUCUUCCGUCGUUGCAAUUAUCUCGCAGUUGCCACGCAAUAUUGCGUGGGAAUUUUCCCUCGCAAAAUUUGCGACUGAUUAACGACGUAUUCGUUUUCCCGCGCAAAGUGCUCGCAAAUCUAUAACAAUUUGCGAGGGAUUUACGCCAUCUCAAAUUUCCCUCGCAAAUCGCUUGUUUUCUUGUAGAUUGAGAGAGAUUUGAAAGAGAUAGAAGGAGACGGUGGAGAGGUUGAGAGAGAUUUCAAAGAGAUUGAGGGAGAGUUGAGAUGUGAGAGAAAUGAAAGGAAAAUUGAGAUUUGAGGGAAUAUUAAGAGAUAUUUCAAGG
rnacentral:sRNA from 1 species